UAAGACUAACAGGAUUCCCCUAGUAACGGCGAGUGAAGCGGGAAGAGCUCAAAUUUAAAAGCUUGCAGUCUUCGAUUGUACGCAUUGUAAACUAUAGAAGUGUUUUCCGUGCUGGACCGUGUAUAAGUCCCUUGGAACAGGGUAUCAAAGAGGGUGAUAAUCCCGUACUUUACACGAUAACCAGUGCUCUGUGAUACACUUUCAACGAGUCGAGUUGUUUGGGAAUGCAGCUCAAAAUGGGUGGUAAAUUCCAUCUAAAGCUAAAUAUUGGCGAGAGACCGAUAGCGAACAAGUACCGUGAGGGAAAGAUGAAAAGCACUUUGGAAAGAGAGUUAAACAGUACGUGAAAUUGUUGAAAGGGAAACGAUUGAAGUCAGUCGUGUUCAUUGGACUCAGCCAGUUCUGCUGGUCUAUUUCCUUUGAACGGGUCAACAUCAGUUUUGUCCGGUGGAUAAAGGCAGUAGGAAAGUAGCUUCUCCGGAAGUGUUAUAGCCUAUUGUCACAUACACUGGGGGAGACUGAGGACUGCAGCUCGCCUUUUGGCCGGGGUUCGCCCACGUUCGAGCUUAGGAUGUUGACAUAAUGGCUUUAAACGACCCGUCUUGAAACACGGACCAAGGAGUCUAACAUAUCUGCGAGUGUUUGAGUGUCAAACUCGAGCGCG
rnacentral:rRNA from 1 species